AACGAACGCUGGCGGCAGGCCUAACACAUGCAAGUCGAGCGGACCUUUCGGGGUCAGCGGCGGACGGGUGAGUAACGCGUGGGAAUAUGCCCUUCUCUACGGAAUAGUCCUGGGAAACUGGGGGUAAUACCGUAUACGCUCUUUGGGGGAAAGAUUUAUCGGGGAAGGAUUAGCCCGCGUUGGAUUAGGUAGUUGGUGGGGUAAUGGCCUACCAAGCCGACGAUCCAUAGCUGGUCUGAGAGGAUGAUCAGCCACACUGGGACUGAGACACGGCCCAGACUCCUACGGGAGGCAGCAGUGGGGAAUCUUAGACAAUGGGGGCAACCCUGAUCCAGCCAUGCCGCGUGAGUGAUGAAGGCCUUAGGGUUGUAAAGCUCUUUCAGCUGGGAAGAUAAUGACGGUACCAGCAGAAGAAGCCCCGGCUAACUCCGUG
rnacentral:rRNA from 1 species